rnacentral:lncRNA from 1 species
AAUGCUACAAAGUUUCUGGAUCAUAUAAUACAUUUCCAGAUUUCAUGAAUAGAAAUAACAGAUGUGCAUAUCACCUUUAUUUCUCUGGUUCUUGCUUACCUGCCAGAUAAUCCUCAUAGUCUGUCUUGAAGAGAAUUCAAAACAUUCCAUUAUGCAAAGAACAAUCAGCAGCUUCAUUGAAUUCUUCAGUGGUAAUGAAUAAGUUCCUGUCUACCACUUACUGAAGAAUAAAUGUAUCACCUUAUACUUCUCCUCCCGUUACCUUGAUCAGGUUCCCCUUAGUGAUAAGUAGUUGUCUCCCCUUAGAUGAAAGAUCAAUCCUCCUCCUUAGUCUCAAGAAGAAUCUCCCCCUCAGUAGUACACAGCUAAAGAGUAGUUUAAUCCCCCUUAGUUGUAGACAGCUAAAGAAAGCUAACUUACUUUUUCUUCCCCCUUUCAUAUAUUCUCCCCCUAAAUAUAUUCUCCCCCUUAGUUGUGGAAUCCUCCGAGGAUAUGUGGUAUCAAAUAUGGUCAAGGAACGUGUCCAAUACAUCCUGUACCAAAAGAUAAUAUCCCCGUAGAGAACUAAACAACGCUAAAGCUGGGGUCGAAGAAAGAGUUCAGAAGAAGGGUUUACUUUGAUUGGGUUGGUCCCUAUGCUAAAAGAAUAGGUUCCAAACGGAAAAGUAAUGAAUAAGAACUGACAUUCCAGUAACAACAUCCACUUUGUCUUUAGGUAUAAAUUUGGUAAUUAGUGGGUGUCUCACUAAAAUGUUCUGCAGGUGUAUCACUCAACACUCAAUUUUCUCUCGGUUUUUGGGUAAGGGUGUCACUCACGAGUUCUGUAAGUGUAUCCCUCCACACAAAUACUG